CAGCAGCCGCGGGAAUACGAAGGGGGCUAGCGUUGCUCGGAAUGACUGGGCGUAAAGGGCGCGUAGGCGGCGAUCAAAGUCAGGCGUGAAAUUCCUGGGCUCAACCUGGGGGCUGCGCUUGAUACUUGGUUGCUUGAGUGGGGAAGAGGGUCGUGGAAUUCCCAGUGUAGAGGUGAAAUUCGUAGAUAUUGGGAAGAACACCGGUGGCGAAGGCGGCGACCUGGUCCUUGACUGACGCUGAGGCGCGAAAGCGUGGGGAGCAAACAGGAUUAGAUACCCGGGUAGUCCCUGUCUCUUAUAC
rnacentral:rRNA from 1 species